AUUAUAAACACGGGAUUCUGAUGUUAUUUGAUGAUUUUGCCACCUGCAAUUUUAAAUAUAAUUAUGGAGCACGUUUGACAUCUAAAUUGAAAGUACUGGAUAAGAAUGUACAACCCAUGCAUGCAGUAAGAGGUGGCCAGGCUCUCUGAUUUGGUUUACGCGUGUUAUUGUAUCCGAUUGCAUAGAUCGAUGCUCAUGCUAUCAAUCACUGUCUGGGUCAGACUCGAUUGAUAAAAUACUGUCGUCACACAGUUUGAAUAUUGUUACAUACAGAGUUAAACAACAAACACACACACAUACAUUUUUACAAUAAACUGUAUUUCUACUAUCUUUUACGGAGUGGUUUGGUUUAAUAAUUAUGUCCCACGUCCGUACUUGAACGUUGUAAUUACGAGGGUAUAAAUUUCCGGUUGAUAUUGACAUGAUAUAGGGUUCAUGAUCUAUUUGUUAUUCAGCUAAAUUAAAUAUUCCUUCCAGGAUUAUCUCCCCGUCAGUAGAUGCUUCUGUUGCCACCUCCAGGUUUGAAGUGAGCAUGUCCAAGUCUACAGCGCUGUCCGAUGAUAUCCUUCUAAACACAAUGGAGCUGAAACUAAAGGAUAACGAUGACACCACUGUCAUUCAACAUUACCACAUCACGGGGAGGGCAAGGAACCCCAGUUUCAACUUGCUGACUGACAACUUCCUCACGUGGACAAAGGAUCCCAAACGAGGAUUGUGCACCGUUGUCACAGAGUCUGUGGAGGAGUUUCGUUUCCUUGUGCUUCUGCUAAACAUCGCCAGCAGACUGCAAAGACGAUGGUAGAGUGGACGUCAUUAACAACAUGCGACAUCUCUACACGUCUUGGAGGUCCGCCAUUCACAGAGAGUGACGUGAGACUGUGUCUGGAGUUCACUCGACAGAGGACUGGGACACAUGGAGUAUACGCCAACUUCUGACGCCUUCUGUUGUAAAGCACCACAGGCUGUACACGUGGACUCAUAUCCAAAUAUGUACUCAGAUCUGAGUUAUUGCUCAAUGAACAAUUGUAUCUGCCAAGGUCAGAUGUAUGAUACAGGAAAGAUGUUCACAUAACUUGGACAAUAUACCAGUUACGUAUUUAAUUAAUGUGUGUCUUAAUCCAAAGAUGAUACUUAUUAUACUUAUUCACAGAUGUACAGAAACAUUGAUUAAUAUUGGCCUUGCUGCAAAAUGGAUUGAAUGUUGUUAGUUUCAAAUUGAUAACUGCAAUAAGAUAUUUGCAAUUGUAUCAACCGGAAACAUCACCUCACUGAGUCUCUAAGCGCCUGUAUAUAGCCUGGCUUUUAAGAAACCAACAUGUAGUAACAUUCUUCAAGUGAGUGCCGACAAAACUGUAUUUACUUAUUUUCGUUUCUUUGUAUCUUCACUUUAUCUUGUCACAUUUAAGAAUUGAUACUGCACUGUUUUGAAAACCUAGUAUAUUAUAUUAAUUAUGUCUCCUUGACUAUUUCACUUUUAUACAGGGUUUGGUACACAUCAUCGUUUACGAAAACAACCACUACUUCACAUGUUGUAAUCCAUGCAUAACAGUCAUGAGUUGUGCCAUUGUUCAACAUAGCAAUUCACAUUUUGACAUUCAUAGCCUUAAUUGACCUU
rnacentral:lncRNA from 1 species